rnacentral:rRNA from 1 species
UACGUAGGGCGCAAGCGUUAUCCGGAAUUAUUGGGCGUAAAGAGCUCGUAGGCGGUUUGUCGCGUCUGCCGUGAAAGUCCGGGGCUCAACUCCGGAUCUGCGGUGGGUACGGGCAGACUAGAGUGAUGUAGGGGAGACUGGAAUUCCUGGUGUAGCGGUGAAAUGCGCAGAUAUCAGGAGGAACACCGGUGGCGAAGGCGCCACUCUGGGCCGGCACUGACGCUGAGGAGCGAAAGCGUGGGUAGCAAACAGG